ACCUGCGUGGUGUAGUGGUCAAGACACUCGCCUGGUAAUCAAGAAGGCUUGGGUUCAAUCCCAGCCUAGGUA
rfam:Asian citrus Psyllid, Diaphorina citri - Florida Strain, whole genome shotgun sequence.